rnacentral:lncRNA from 1 species
CUCGAGGUUGGGCUGGCCAGAGCAAACAUAGCUUUCCCGGGGGAGACCAGGCCAUCUUUCUUCCUCUUACUUCAAAGGGGCUUUGGAACGCUCCACCCCAUGGGCUGAACAGAAUGUAUUUCAUUUUUUAGGAGGCUGGAAUCAGCUGCCGAGAAGGGCAGGGGCACCUUGGGCUCUCCUUCCCUUCCCCAUCUCCAGGACUCAGUAAGGAGGGAGGGCAUGAAAUCUCAGGCUCCUGGGCGGGGCUGGGGAGGCCGGCCUUGUCACAGGCAGGAGGGGCCGCAUUCCUUCCUCAGCAGCUGGUGGAGCUGGGCCUGAGCAGGACUUCCCCAAAGGACUGAGAAGGAAGCCUCCACUCUGUCGUCGCUCUCUGCUUGGAAUUGCCUUCGGAAGACAUCCUCAAUCCUGCCCCAGCCUUACGAUUGUUUUGUGUCAUUAGAUGAAGUCACUUCACUUCUGAAGCUCACUUGCCUUUUCUAAAAACCGGAGGCUGAUAAGGAUUGCAGGAAACUCAUGGAGUUGUUCCGAGGUUAAAAUGAGAGUCUGCCUGUGGAAGGACAUUGCAGAUGAUAGAAGACACAGAUGUAAGGCAUCUACCUUAUCUUUACCAGUUUCAUCUUCUUCAUCUUCAUCUCAUUACCAUGGUCAUCCUCGUUAGCAGGGAAGAGCAGGAGUUCUCACGGCAGGAUAGGCUUCGCGGCUGUGCUGGGAAAUGCCUGUCUGAAGUAGGCCACACAUGGGCUGUGUGGAGAGCUGCACAAUAGAAUGGAAAAGAGCACUGAAUCAGGAGUAAAAAGAGCUGGGUGUUGACUUGGUACAUCCACAAACUAGCUGUGUAACCUUGUGGAUGCCGUGAAUGUCUCUGUGCUUCAGCCUCCUCGCCUGCAAGAAGUAUGGCAGAUUCACAUCUUGAAUUAUAUGGUGCCCAACCGUAUUAGUGAUUCUGAUUCCCUGGUGAAUAUGGCAACCAGUGAAUUGGGAAGUGGGGGUGAGUAUCAGCUAAAGAAAUGAAAGCACCAGCCUGGCAGGUAAACAGUUCACAGUCCCCCAGAGAUGGCACAGAAGGGCUGUAGUACUAGGGGAUGGGAGACUUGGCAUCUUAGACAAGUCACUGUUCCUGUCUUGGCCUUGGAAUUUUGAUCUGGAAAAUGGGGAUGGGGAAUUGUGGAUGACUAAAGAUUUCUGAGCUGCCUUCCAGCUCUGCUGUUCUGUGAUGGCCCAUGUGAGUCACAGGUAGGUGCUUCUGUGGUGGCCGGCUGGCCGUUUAUCUGGUGGCCUCCCCUCCUCCCUCCCUGCGGGUGGCCCCUCUCCCACACCCUUUCUAACACACUGGGCAUAACUGCUUUACAGCAUCCAUCUGGCUGCUCUUGGUGUGUCUCUGUGUGAGCAACUUCAGAACAAGACUUCUCAACUUUUAAAAAAAGCCUGAUUAAAAAAUUCUCUGUUGAUUAUUAAACAUGCUCAUUGUAGGGAAAAACAAAAUUCAUAAAGCAGAUAAAGAAUUCUAAUAAAUCUGAGACAUCUACUGUUAGCAUUUUGUUAUCUUUUCUUUUAGUCUCUUCUCU